rnacentral:rRNA from 1 species
GACGAACGCUGGCGGCGUGCUUAACACAUGCAAGUCGAACGGAAAGGCCCUGCUUUUGUGGGGUGCUCGAGUGGCGAACGGGUGAGUAACACGUGAGUAACCUGCCCUUGACUUUGGGAUAACUUCAGGAAACUGGGGCUAAUACCGGAUAGGAGCUCCUGCUGCAUGGGGGGGGUUGGAAAGUUUCGGCGGUUGGGGAUGGACUCGCGGCUUAUCAGCUUGUUGGUGGGGUAGUGGCUUACCAAGGCUUUGACGGGUAGCCGGCCUGAGAGGGUGACCGGCCACAUUGGGACUGAGAUACGGCCCAGACUCCUACGGGAGGCAGCAGUGGGGAAUAUUGCACAGUGGGCGGAAGCCUGAUGCAGCAACGCCGCGUGCUGGAUGACGGCCUUCGGGUUGUAACCCGCUUUCGCCUGUGACGAAGCGUGAGUGACGGUAAUGGGUAAAGAAGCACCGGCUAACUACGUG